rnacentral:rRNA from 1 species
UACGUAGGGUGCAAACGUUGUUCGGAAUUACUGGGCGUAAAGCGAGUGUAGGCGGUUUGGAAAGUCGGAUGUGAAAGCCCCGGGCUCAACCCGGGAAGUGCACUCGAUACUCCCAAGCUAGAGUAUCGGAGAGGUUGGCGGAAUUCUCGGUGUAGAGGUGAAAUUCGUAGAUAUUGGGAAGAACACCGGUGGCGAAGGCGGCUCACUGGCUCAUAUCUGACGCUCAGGCGCGACAGCGUGGGGAUCAAACAGG